AAAUUGAAGAGUUUGAUCAUGGCUCAGAUUGAACGCUGGCGGCAGGCCUAACACAUGCAAGUCGAGCGGUAGCACAGAGAGCUUGCUCUCGGGUGACGAGCGGCGGACGGGUGAGUAAUGUCUGGGAAACUGCCUGAUGGAGGGGGAUAACUACUGGAAACGGUAGCUAAUACCGCAUAACGUCGCAAGACCAAAGUGGGGGACCUUCGGGCCUCAUGCCAUCAGAUGUGCCCAGAUGGGAUUAGCUAGUAGGUGGGGUAACGGCUCACCUAGGCGACGAUCCCUAGCUGGUCUGAGAGGAUGACCAGCCACACUGGAACUGAGACACGGUCCAGACUCCUACGGGAGGCAGCAGUGGGGAAUAUUGCACAAUGGGCGCAAGCCUGAUGCAGCCAUGCCGCGUGUGUGAAGAAGGCCUUCGGGUUGUAAAGCACUUUCAGCGGGGAGGAAGGCGUUGAGGUUAAUAACCUCAUCGAUUGACGUUACCCGCAGAAGAAGCACCGGCUAACUCCGUGCCAGCAGCCGCGGUAAUACGGAGGGUGCAAGCGUUAAUCGGAAUUACUGGGCGUAAAGCGCACGCAGGCGGUCUGUCAAGUCGGAUGUGAAAUCCCCGGGCUCAACCUGGGAACUGCAUUCGAAACUGGCAGGCUAGAGUCUUGUAGAGGGGGGUAGAAUUCCAGGUGUAGCGGUGAAAUGCGUAGAGAUCUGGAGGAAUACCGGUGGCGAAGGCGGCCCCCUGGACAAAGACUGACGCUCAGGUGCGAAAGCGUGGGGAGCAAACAGGAUUAGAUACCCUGGUAGUCCACGCCGUAAACGAUGUCGAUUUGGAGGUUGUGCCCUUGAGGCGUGGCUUCCGGAGCUAACGCGUUAAAUCGACCGCCUGGGGAGUACGGCCGCAAGGUUAAAACUCAAAUGAAUUGACGGGGGCCCGCACAAGCGGUGGAGCAUGUGGUUUAAUUCGAUGCAACGCGAAGAACCUUACCUGGUCUUGACAUCCACAGAACUUUCCAGAGAUGGAUUGGUGCCUUCGGGAACUGUGAGACAGGUGCUGCAUGGCUGUCGUCAGCUCGUGUUGUGAAAUGUUGGGUUAAGUCCCGCAACGAGCGCAACCCUUAUCCUUUGUUGCCAGCGGUUCGGCCGGGAACUCAAAGGAGACUGCCAGUGAUAAACUGGAGGAAGGUGGGGAUGACGUCAAGUCAUCAUGGCCCUUACGACCAGGGCUACACACGUGCUACAAUGGCAUAUACAAAGAGAAGCGACCUCGCGAGAGCAAGCGGACCUCAUAAAGUAUGUCGUAGUCCGGAUUGGAGUCUGCAACUCGACUCCAUGAAGUCGGAAUCGCUAGUAAUCGUAGAUCAGAAUGCUACGGUGAAUACGUUCCCGGGCCUUGUACACACCGCCCGUCACACCAUGGGAGUGGGUUGCAAAAGAAGUAGGUAGCUUAACCUUCGGGAGGGCGCUUACCACUUUGUGAUUCAUGACUGGGGUGAAGUCGUAACAAGGUAACCGUAGGGGAACCUGCGGUUGGAUCACCUCCUUA
rnacentral:rRNA from 1 species